rnacentral:rRNA from 1 species
GGGGCCUUUGAGGCUUUAGUGGCGCAGCUAACGCGAUAAGUAGACCGCCUGGGGAGUACGGUCGCAAGACUAAAACUCAAAUGAAUUGACGGGGGCCCGCACAAGCGGUGGAGCAUGUGGUUUAAUUCGAUGCAACGCGAAGAACCUUACCUGGCCUUGACAUACUAGAAACUUUCCAGAGAUGGAUUGGUGCCUUCGGGAAUCUAGAUACAGGUGCUGCAUGGCUGUCGUCAGCUCGUGUCGUGAGAUGUUGGGUUAAGUCCCGCAACGAGCGCAACCCUUUUCCUUACUUGCCAGCAUUUCGGAUGGGAACUUUAAGGAUACUGCCAGUGACAAACUGGAGGAAGGCGGGGACGACGUCAAGUCAUCAUGGCCCUUACGGCCAGGGCCACACACGUGCUACAAUGGUCGGUACA